GGGCUCGCCCGGCACCUCCUCACUGCCGGGAUCGCUCCGUAGCCGGGUGGGGAGGGGGCGCCCUAGAGGAGCGGAACAGAGAGCCGGAGCGGGGGCCGGGCCGGGCGGGGCGAGGGUCAUCCGGGGAGGGGGGCGAGCUAACGAGCACGGGAGACUCGAGGGCGCCUCGGGGGGACUCCGGAGGGGGCGCGCGGCGCCCCUGGGCCCGGCGCGGGCGGGGGGCGCACCCCCUUUACCUGCGGCUCCGGCUCCUCGGCCAUUUCCUCGCUCGGCGGCGGCCGGGACUGAACUGACACCACACGAGCGAGCCGAGGUGGCAUCCUGGUGCAACAAAGAAGACGUGGCAAACUGGGGGACACUGCUGUCCGUUUACUUUCUCUCCCGUGUGGAGGGCACGCUCAGAGAAUCAGAGCUGUCACCGAUAAGCAUACUGGCCACUGGACUAGCCAAAUCUUCACCCCUUGAAGUUAUCACUGCCUUUGCUUUAACAAGAGGAAACUGAGACUCAAGAUGAAAUCAAACGGCACUAAAAACAGAACACCUGCUCCAUUUUGACCAUGAGUACAUUGUCAGAGAGGCCUUGAAGGUGCCUUCCCAAGUGGAUUACCUGACCACAUAAAAGAGAGACAGGUAAUUUAUGAAAGGACUCUUCGUGGUAUUUGUACUUUGUCUAUUUCCAGCCUGUUGCAGCUUUCUCGGGACCCACCCGACCUCGAGGAUGGUGAGCGGGCUCCUGGGAGUGAAACCGAUGUCCGAUUUGUCGAUUUGUCGCAGUCCAGAGCGAGAUGCUACGGUGAGCUCCACCUGAGGGCUUCCUCCACGCCUUCCCACUCCGCCGUGUGGGAUUAAUUCAGACAUUUUCUGAAGUAUUUACUUAGACGCACUCUCCUUCUGAGUCAGUAUGGACUUUGUUCAUCCCAUUUCCUUGAAAUAUGUCCACCUUCAUGGGUGAACACAGGAGCGCGCUUUCUUCCAGAGCACACGUGGAUAGUAUGUAUUUACAGAGAUGUCAAACAGACAGACAUACAAAAAACAAAACAUGUAAUAUUUGAGCUUCCCUCCCAAAGGGAGGACAGGUGCUUCUCUGGCUUGUAGUAAACGUUGCAAGAUUGGUAAUUUGAUACAUAGCGAGAGAAUCCACUGCGGGGCGUCUCUCUUUUUUGUCUUUCUUUCUCUCUUCUCAUCAGACUGUGUGUCUGGCUUGGAGAACCAGCCAGGGACCCAAGUAGUGGUGAGCCCAACAACCUGCCACACCAGACUCAAGUGACAAAAAGUCUGAUUGUGCAAUAUUCUCAGCAGGUUGGCUUUCCACGUUCUAGAAAACGUUUUUAAUGGGUUUGAGAUCCUUUCACACUAAGCACUUUGGGCUUGAACUGUCGUGCCUUGUCAUGAAGUUGUGUUUGGAACUGUGGUGAAAGUCGGGAUUUUUCUCUUCCUCCUCUUUUUUUUUUUUUACCCCCCCCCCCCUUUAAAAACAAGAUAAGCCCCGUAUGCAAAUAGAGUCCACAGCGACCACCACCGUCCUGGUUCUCAGCUUUAUUUCUCCUGCUGCAGAGCCUGCCUUCACCCAUUAUACGCUAUUUGCAUACCUUUAACAUUAGAAACAUUUAUUCCAGGAAUGAGUCAUUGGAGGCAUCUUCUGCGUUUACAGCUCGGAAGCUGGACUCAGUAGCAUUAAUGCCAGAAGAAUGGAUGUCUUCUGUAUUAAAAACCUCGGGAUUGUUUGUGCGUAGAGAGAGACAGAAAGAGAGAGAGUUUCUGUUUUGUUUUUGUUUGUUUCAUUUGAAGAGUGAAAUGUGCUCAAA